GUGGGGAAUUUUGGACAAUGGGGGCAAGCCUGAUCCAGCAAUGCCGCGUGCAGGAAGAAGGCCUUCGGGUUGUAAACUGCUUUUGUACGGAACGAAACGGUCCGGGUUAAUACCCUGGGCUAAUGACGGUACCGUAAGAAUAAGCACCGGCUAACUACGUGCCAGCAGCCGCGGUAAUACGUAGGGUGCAAGCGUUAAUCGGAAUUACUGGGCGUAAAGCGUGCGCAGGCGGUUUUGUAAGACAGGCGUGAAAUCCCCGGGCUCAACCUGGGAAUUGCGCUUGUGACUGCAAGGCUGGAGUGCGGCAGAGGGGGAUGGAAUUCCGCGUGUAGCAGUGAAAUGCGUAGAUAUGCGGAGGAACACCGAUGGCGAAGGCAAUCCCCUGGGCCUGCACUGACGCUCAUGCACGAAAGCGUGGGGAGCAAACAGGAUUAGAAACCCGUGUAGUCC
rnacentral:rRNA from 1 species